GUAACAAGGUCUCCGUUGGUGAACCAGCGGAGGGAUCAUUACCGAGUUUUCAACUCCCUAACCCUUCUGUGAACCUACCUACUCGUUGCUUCGGAGGACUCGCCCCAGCCCGGACGCGGACUGGACCAGCGGCCCGCCGGGGACCUCAACCUCUUGUAUUCCAGCAUCUUCUGAAUACGCCGCAAGGCAAAACAAAUGAAUCAAAACUUUCAACAACGGAUCUCUUGGCUCUGGCAUCGAUGAAGAACGCAGCGAAAUGCGAUAAGUAAUGUCAAUUGCAGAAUCCAGUGAAUCAUCGAAUCUUUGAACGCACAAUUGCGCCCGCCAGCAUUCUGGCGGGCAUGCCUGUUCGAGCGUCAUUUCAACCCCGACCUCCCCUUGGGGAGGUCGGCGUUGGGGACCGGCAGCACACCGCCGGCCCUGAAAUGGAGUGGCGGCCCGUCCGCGGCGACCUCUGCGUAGUAAUACAGCUCGCACCGGAACCCCGACGAGGCCACGCCGUAAACACCCAACUUCUGAACGUUGACCUCGAAUCAGGUAGGACUACCCGCUGAACUUAAGCAU
rnacentral:rRNA from 1 species